GGCUCAAGCAAUCCUCCCGCCUGGCGCUGGCUAAUUUUUUGUAUUUUAGUAGAGAUGGGGGUUUCACCAUGUUGCCCAGGCUGGUCUCAAACUCCUGAGCUCAUGCAAUCCGCCUGCCUCGGCCUCCCAAUGUACUGGGAAUACAGGCAUGAGCCACUGUACCUGGCCUAUAUAACAUUCUUGAAAUGGCAAAACUACAGAAAUGGAGAACAGAUUAGUGAUUGCCAGGGGUUAAGUGGGAGUGGCAGAGAAAUGAAUGUAACUAUAAAUGGACAACACCAGAGAUUCCUGAGGUGAUGGAAAUUCUCUUUAUCUUGAUUGUAUCAAUGUCAACAUCCUUGUUGUGAUAUUGUACUGGAGUUGUGUAAGACUUUACUACUGGGGAAAAGUGAGUAAAGGGUACAUGAGAUCUCUCUGUAUUAUUUCUCCCAACUGCAUGUGAAUCCACAGUUAUCUCAAAAUAAACUGUUUAAAUUUUUUUAAUCUAAGAGGUAAAAAAGAACUGUAAAAAGUAAGAGCAAUUUUGGGAAUGGAAAGUAGGAAGGGAGUCAAAACAAGAAUGGCAGAAUGUUGAUCAGUGUUGAAACUCUGGGGUGGAUACGUGGCAGUUCAUAACUAUUCUGUUUACUUUGUAUGUAUUUGAAAUCUUCCAUAAUAAAAGAAAAAUUAAAUUAUGAGGUAGGAUACAGAAAAAAUAUUAAUAAUAAAUAACUUCUCUCAUCAAUAAUUAACUAUUAGAAAACAGAAUUUUACAACUGUAUUCAUGAUAAAAACCAUAACUAUAAAAUAACAGAGAAUUAACUUUGUAAUAAACUCAGAUAAAGAAAAUUACAUAAAUAUACUGAAAAUCCUAAAAAAAAAAAGACAAAAGCAGACCUAAAUGGUGGCCUAAAUAAAUGGAAAAACACACGAUGAUCCAGACUGAAAAGACUCACUACUAUAAAAAUGCCAACUCUCCUACAUUUAAUCUAUAAUUCCUAACCAAAAUUCCAGUGUUAUUAUUUAUACAGUCUAAAAAGCUCAUUCUAAUGUUACUACUGAAGAAAAAAUGCACAAGAUUUUGCCCUGCAAUUCUGGGGGGAAAAAAAGAAUGAGGGAAAACAUUGUAUAUCAGAUAUCAAGAUAGAUUAUGCAGUUGC
rnacentral:lncRNA from 1 species